CCGAAAACCUUACCACCUUGACAUGUACGGAAUCCUUUAGAGAUAGAGGAGUGCUCGAAAGAGAGCCGUAACACAGGUGCUGCAUGGCUGUCGUCAGCUCGUGUCGUGAGAUGUUGGGUUAAGUCCCGCAACGAGCGCAACCCUUGUCAUUAGUUGCUACAUUCAGUUGGGCACUCUAAUGAGACUGCCGGUGACAAACCGGAGGAAGGUGGGGAUGACGUCAAGUCCUCAUGGCCCUUAUAGGUGGGGCUACACACGUCAUACAAUGGAUGGUACAAAGGGUCGCCAACCCGCGAGGGGGGAGCCAAUCCCAUAAAGCCAUUCGUAGUCCGGAUCGCAGUCUGCAACUCGACUGCGUGAAGUCGGAAUCGCUAGUAAUCGUGAAUCAGAAUGUCACGGUGAAUACGUUCCCGGGCCUU
rnacentral:rRNA from 1 species